AAUCUAACUGAUUUCUUCCAUUUUUAUGCUUUAUAUUCUAGGUUGAGCCCUCCUUCACCUCCAGGAAGUGAGGAGAUGGCUGCUCCCUGCCAAGAAAGCGCAGCCAGGUUUCUGGCACAUUCUGAGCAGGCAAAGGGCUGGUGUCUGAGGUUGGCAAGGGCGAUGCUUCUUCAAGUGCACGCGGCACCUCCAGUCACUCAUCGCUCAAAAAAGUCACAGAAGGGGAGAGGGGGGUAGCAGAUGAAAUGUUUGCAAGGAAAGCAGAAUAAUAUGCAAAACCAAGAUGAAACAUGUUUCAGGUCUACAUUACAAUUCAGACAGAAAUUUAAAUCAGCUGAAGACACCAGAAUAAAAUGCUCUGUAAGUGUUCUACGCUAUCAGUUACUCAAGGGAUACUUGCAGGUAACACGGCUUUCAGUGCACAUUGCUUCCUUUGCAGCCUUUGAUGUGACCUUGUGAAAGGUAGGUUCCCUUCAGGAAUGUGCUCUGAGGUCUGAGGCAACUCAGCUGGAACUGUGGGAGCAUGGUGUUUCCAUAGACAAGGUUCCAAACUUGCUCUUGCUCUUAAAAAAGAAAGAAUAUCACGGUAUAGUCUGGUGAUACUGAGAAUACAAAUACCCAGUAUCAAUUGUGCUGUGAGAGUGUCAUUUGUGCCUUAUAUUCCAAUUAAAUGAAUUAAAUUUUUUUCAGGUCCUUUACAAAAUUAGAUGUAGAGAGUGUCCAAACCAUCACCAGUGAAAAUGAUGCCAGUUGGAACACUUCUAGUGAAAAAUUUGGUUUUGAGAGAACAGGUAGUUUCGUUAAAAAGUGUUCACUGACCUCCAAAUAUGCCUUCCUUGCAUAAACCCAG
rnacentral:lncRNA from 1 species